AUGCCCAGGCUGGGGCUCGCCCUCGGUUUGCUCUCCCCGGGCAGCCGGCAGCGGGACCGGGCCGUGCGGGUGCCCAGCGGGGCUGCCGGGCCCACCCCGGCUCACACUUGUGGGGUUCAACUCCCAGCUCGGCUGCACCGAGCUCUCUCAGCUCUGUUUCCAGCCUCGCAGCGAGGGCUGCUCCCUGGCCGCAGCGGCGGAGCAGUGACUGUGCAGAACAGGGAGCGCCCGGCUGUUGUCUCACGCUGCUGCGAGCACUGGGAUGGAGGCAGCCGGCCUCUCCCCGGGGCUGCCGGCCGGCUCGGGAGGCACCGCUGCAUCCCCGACCCCGGGCACGGCUGCAUUUAUCCACCCGCCGUACCGCCGGGGGCUGCCCACAGCCUCUGCUGCACCCGAGCCCCGCGUCGCCCCAGCUGGUGGCACCAACCCAGCGCUCGCGUUUGGAAGCUUUUCUUAGCGUCGCUUUGGCCUAGAAACAAUAUCUCCGAGAAAAAUCAAAGCUUGCGGGUUUGUUUUUUUUUUUUGCCGGCGCUGGAGCGGUCGCGGUGCUUGCCGUGGGUGCGGGAGCCUUGUGCGCGCUGCAGGGCGCCUUGUGCCUGCGGCAGCUCGCUGGGGUGGCACCCGGCACGGGGGAAUGUGUGGUUAUGGGGUGGCACCCGGCACGGGGGAAUGUACGGUGAGCCCCCUCGCACUGCAGCCCUAAACGCCAGGGAAGCAGGGCAGCCGCACGCUUCAGCGCUGUGCAGAAGAGGGAGAGGAGGCGGCGUGCUGGAGCCUCCAGCGCAGGGGAAGGGAACGGCUCAGUGCGCUCUUCAAGGCACCCAGGGGACCCGCGGAGUGCCUCUCCACCAGCUAAUUGUGCUGGCUAAAGUGCAGUGUAACGAGCCGGGAGGAGGAAGCGUGCCCUGCGGUACCACGUGCGGCAAAAGGCGUCUUCCAACAGAGGUCUUCAUCCUUUGCUGCUUCUGCAACCGCCUCCAAAUCCGGUGCCGAGGAGCCCGAAGCCUGCGAUGGUUUGGGAGUGAGAUCCAGCCGAUGCUCUGCUCUGAAAUCACCUGCUGCUGA
rnacentral:lncRNA from 1 species